GUUCUGUUUCAGCCAAGUCAAGAGCUAGGUUAGCAUCAGAGUUUGGUUGCUCGUUCCCACCACCUCAAGCGAAACCGGACUUUCCAGAUGCUCCAAGGGCAAACAGAAAAGGUUAAAAGAACGAGGUGGACUGCUCUGAUGAUGCCGAGCUCGUUGUUCUGUUUCCGAGCUAUCAGCUUCUCGUUGAGCCGCUUAAAAAAUCAAAUCAAAUCUGCGGCUAGUCAACGAAGGUGACUCGACGUUACAGAGAAGGCUGACACCGCUGAUGUUGUUUUGAUUCUUGGGACAGAGGGCUUCCAUCUUUAGUGUCUGAAGGAAACGAAAGGCAGCAGACGGUCGAAUCCGCACCACGGUUGAGUGUGGUAAUCUCAUCUCCCGCUUAUCACCAAUGUCACAAGGCCAAAAGCUCACGCUGAAAUGUUUCUGUGGAUCCAUCUUAUCUAGACUGGAAGGGAUGUCCAGCGCUGCACGUUUAGAAUAUUUCACGAGAUGUUUUGUCCUCGUUCGAUUGUUUGCAGAAAUUCCUAAGAUACUUUGUUUGUGA